rnacentral:rRNA from 1 species
GCGCCAGACUCCUACGGGAGGCAGCAGUGGGGAAUAUUGCACAAUGGGGGAAACCCUGAUGCAGCGACGCCGCGUGAGCGAUGAAGUAUUUCGGUAUGUAAAGCUCUAUCAGCAGGGAAGAAAAUGACGGUACCUGACUAAGAAGCCCCGGCUAACUACGUGCCAGCAGCCGCGGUAAUACGUAGGGGGCAAGCGUUAUCCGGAUUUACUGGGUGUAAAGGGAGCGUAGACGGCAUGGCAAGUCAGAUGUGAAAGCCCGGGGCUCAACCCCGGGACUGCAUUUGAAACUGUCAGGCUGGAGUGCAGGAGAGGUAAGUGGAAUUCCUAGUGUAGCGGUGAAAUGCGUAGAUAUUAGGAGGAACACCAGUGGCGAAGGCGGCCUGCUGGACGAUGACUGACGCUGAGGCUCGAAAGCGUGGGGAGCAAACAGGAUUAGAUACCCCGGUACC